CCAUGCAUAUCCAUCAUUGUUGUCAUUAACAAUCCACCUGCAAUGUAAAUUAAAAUUAGUUCAUCUCAUUUUAGUUAAGAGUAUUUAUAUUUCAGUGAUCUUGGUUUAUAUAAAUUAUCCAUGUCAUUGAUAUAAGAAUGUGAACCUUUCAUCCAUGAUUCAAGUUUUUGCCAAGACAAGGUGUGGUUGUGAAAGGAUCCAGGGAAAUUGUUUUUCAUGAUUGGUUGAAAGGUCAAUUGACAUCUCGUCCCAUUUUGCUUUGUUGGAAAGCACACAUAGUAAAGGUGAAGUGCCUGUUUACUUGUUAGUAAACUUAAUUGAUGUAGUGUAAUUGAAGAUUUAACUUAGAACUGGAUUCCUGCGAGAACUCUUUUCAUGUUUCUAGUCUUGUUGAGUCCGGAUCAAGACAGGAUCUCCAGCAAGUUUUUUUAAAGAGUUAAUCUCCAACGAGUUUUGAAGAGACGCAGCUCAAAAUCUUGCCAAGUCGAGUUGAAUGAUAGGGUAAUUAGGUUCUCAUUGUCCUUUUCUAAAGUGUAAAUCUUACUAAUUGUAUUCAAUAUGUGCAGAGAAAAGCAGUUGUAUAGCACGUACUUGGGAACGAACCUGCUGAUGUUUACAGAGAAAAGCAGUUACAACACAUCGUGGUCCAAGAUGAAGUCCUAGCCAAUAGGUUGGGCCUUAUUCCCAUCAAAGCUGACCCAAGGCUGUUUGAAUAUGUUUCAGGUACUUCUUCAAGGUCUUUCUUCAAGGGAUUUGAUUUGUGGAAGGAAGAAACUGUAAUGAAGGUCAGCUUACCUAGAUUUAACAGAUGGUGAUAGUUUCUCCAUGGCCUUGGAACCUAACGGUUCAGAACUUGGGGACUACGCCUUGAGCCAAGAAGUGACAACCGUGAAGGUGGUGGCAGGAG